CGAACCAUGCGUGAGAUGCGGACUGUGGCUGGCUGCGCCACUCCCUGUCUCUUCCUCCGUGACCUUGGGCGUGGCAUGAGCCCUCCUGGGCCCUGCCCCUUCCCGGGCUGGGCAGGAAGAAGGCCCAGGAGAGGGCUCCUGACUCCAAGUGUGGCCUGGGGAGGGUAGGUGGAUUGGAGAGCCUGGAGCCAGACAGGGGUGGGAGGGCAGCUUCGAGUGUGGGGGCAUCCAGAGGAGGUGGCUGCCGCCCAGGGGUCUCCAGGCAACCCGUGACCACUGGCCUGACCGCAGGGGCCACCCAGGGACUGCUCACCCAAUGCAGGCAGCUCCCCCGGGUGAGUGACGCCUCCCUCCGGCAAUGUUGCCAGGAGCCACCCCUCUCAAUGUGUCGGCCUAGCUGCCUCCUGGCCUGGGCGUUCCCCACCCUGCAGAGCCUGCCCGGACCAGCGCUCGCUGCCAGGAAACCGCUGGGCCCAUGAGAUCCCCCACCCGUGGCCGCCUCUCCCAGGACGGGUCGGGGCGGGCGCCCGGGACUCAGAGAGGGGCCUCCGAGCUCAAACGCCCAAGGCUGGGCGCCUGCUGGUCCCCUGGAGCCCAAGCCGCGCCCCCACCCCGGCCUCGGCAUACGGCUCCCGCGGGAGUCUGGGAUUCCCCGUGCCCACCCCGCACCUGCCGCACCUGCCCGCACCUGACGCACCUGCCCGCUCGCCGUGGCGUCCGCAGUGACCCGCCGCCCGCGCCGCCCGCAUUUCAAGCCGCGCAGGCCCCGCCCCGUCGAGGGCGGCGUCCAGAAAGGCAUUUGGAGGGAAGCGUGGACUGGCCCCAGCAGCGGCUGCCUCCCCACAGGCCACUUACUUGCUUGCCAUGCGGCUGGUGUCGCUGCCUCCAGCCCCGACGCCGCUCUUGUCUGCUCAGCCCCCUGGAACACGGGUUCGCGUCCUCUGUCUGCUGGGUCCAGGGGUUUUCGAGGCUCUCCUUGGCGGACCCCUCAUCCCCCAUGAGGUUGUAAGACCUGGGGUCUCUGUGUCCUGUGUGGCAGCAGUGCCAGGCCUCACCCCCUCCAUCCGGGCUCAGAGAAUGCCCCCUGUCACCCUGGGAGUACCUGACCCUGUCUCUGAAGCCCAUUCUGGCACCCACCUUCCAAAGCUGGGGCCUGAUGGAGAUGCUGGGCAUGGAGGCUCACAGCCUCGGGGGCUGGCCUGGGGGCAGCCUCAGCCUUAUGGGAAUCUUCCAUGGAUCUUCUGUCGAGCCCUCUCCUUGGCUGCCCUGAGAUCCCAGGUGGGCAGGGCCAGGGAAGGACAGGGCCCAAGACCCCUCCUCCUGUGUUCCCAAGGCCCCUCCUCCUCUGUCCCCAAGGCUCCUCCUCCUCUAUCCACUAGUCCUGGAGGUCCUGAGGGCUCAGGUGCUCCUCACCCCCUACAAGUGCCCCCUUCCCGCAAGCCCCAGCCCUCACCUCUACCUGGGUCAUUCUUGACCAGAAACUCAUCUAGAGCCACCUAGCUACCUACAAUGCACACUAUGAGGGCACUUGUAGAUGCCCACACAGACACAGGAGGGAGGGGUCAGGCCUUCAGGGGUAAGGUUGCUCAGGACCGCUGCCCUGGCUGGGCUCUCACCCACCCAUCAGGCCCACACUCACACCUGCUCACCCAGGCUGCCUGGACCCUGUCCACAUCCACCACACUGGCCAUGUGGCGUGGCUGUUGCUGGCUGCUGGGAGCCCUGAUGGCAGCAGAGCUCUGGUGGGGCCCACAUUCCCCCAAGGCAUAGCCACACCAACCUCAUCCAUCCCCAGCCCUGCUCAGUGGAUGCCUGGACACUGUGCAGUCUUGUUGGGAAGCGUGGUGGGGCUGGCUGUGGCCUGUGGCUUGGAGCGCACCCGGAGCCACUUCUUCCCUCUGCUGAGCCAUUGCAGGCCAGGUCCCUGCCAGGCCAUAGAACCUGGGUGUAUGCCAGCCCCUCGUUGCAAGAAUGGGGCGUGAGGCUGGCCAGGCCGAGCCUGCUCAAGUGCCCAGGGAUGGGCCACGUGCCUGCUGCUCCCACCCAUCUCGUGGAGGCAGGCGGCGCAGAGUGGGCCCUGCUGGGUGCACCCAUUGGCAUCUGUCCCCCGCUCCUCUCCCUCGGCUCUGACUUUCCUGUGACUCCAGAUCCCCCGCCCCAUGGAGUCCUCCAGUCCAGUGACCUCUGGGGACACCUCUGGGGAAAACCUGGGUGCCUCCCUGACUCUCCAGUUCCUGGGCCACUCCCGGUCAGGGCUUCUGGGAGCUACCACCUCCUCAGGGGCCACUGGUCACUCCUCCAGCCCCCAGACCUGGGCCUACAGCACCUACACAGCAGGGAAGGGCAUCAGGGAGGAUGUCAGGAGGUGCGAGAUGGCCCCAAUACCCAGUACUGCCCACAGCUCUACCCACCUCUACCUGGCACAGGCACCUAGCUUCCCCCUGCAGGUCAGGGAGGCUCUCAGAGGGCAGAGCCCCAAGAGCACUGCCCCUGGGCUGGUCCGUGGAGGCACUGUGCUGGCUGGAGCCUCUGGCCAGGAUCCCUGUUGGUCCCUCGGGUCCUGGCCUGGCUCAGCCCAAACAGGAGUGCCUGCCACAGCUCCAUAAAGCACCUGGGAGCAUGGAGUCCCCCUCUAGGGUUCCCUCCAGGGCACAUGGCCCAGAGAGGAGACAGGGCAGACGCAGGAAGGACAGAGGGCCCUGCGGGAGUGGGUGGGACGGAGCUGAGCAGCAGACUGACCUCUCCACCAAGGGCCUGGACAUAGCAGCCCGAAGCUCCAACUGCAGGCUGGGGUACAGGGGGUGGGAGGCCUUCCUCUCAGGCUAGGUGCCCUCAUAGCAAACACAUGGGCUGCUCUCCCAAUGGCUCUCAGGGGACACCUGCCGUCAGAGGAGCCUGGUGACACACCUGCCUCCAGGGCGGGGGAAGGGCUGGGCUGGGAGUCGGAGGCCUGCUGUCGCUGUCCCCCUGAGAACCCCCCACAUCCUGAAUUCUCUUUCUCUACACCCUCCUUGCUGUGCCUCGCACUGACCCCCUGUCCCCCUUCAGCAAGGGUGAUGGCCCUGGCUGCCCAGGCCUCGGAGGCCAGCUGAUGUGAGGAGUACAGCCUCUGCCUGCCAGGGCCCCGGAGGGCUCAGUCAGGGCCAGGAGAGGAAGGGCCUGACUCCAGAUCCCUCGGGAACGUGAGCUUGCUAGGAAGCAGGGUUGCUGCAGAAGCGGUGAGUUGGGAGGCGGUCAUGCUGGAGUGGGCAUGCUUUCAGACGGGGCAUUGGACACAAACGCAGACUGCAGAGAGGAAGACGCUGUGCAGAUGUGGAGGGAAGACACCGUGGGGCCUGGAGUCAGGCCUUGCCUCACAAGGAAAAUGGCCCUGCCCCCCUUUCCAGAUUAGACUUUGGCCUGGAGAGCUCAGGGUCCACACGUGACUGUUGUUAGAGCCACCCCACUGGUGAUGGUUGAUUACAGAAGCCCCAGGAAAUUCACAGUCCCCAAGCCAGGGAAAUAAGCCAGGGAGAGCAAGGGCAGAGGGGGCUGCAGGGUCCGGGUGGGAGGCAAACCCUGAGGCUGCCUCAUGCAAGCCCUGCUUCUCCCAUUUUAUUGAAAGGGUGGGAGGGGGAGGGAGGGCGGAGGAAGAGGGGAGAGGAAGGGGAGGAAGGCAGAGCCGGGCAUAGCCCACUUUGGGUCUUGAGCUUGCUAAGCACAGGACAGGAGGCUCCAACCUUGACCUCAGAGUUAAAUGUUUUUCCUGUCUUGCUCCAGAUGUAAAUGUUUCCAAUCGCCACAUACAUGGAAGUCAUACAUGGCAAUGCCACCGGCUUAACUGGGAAUUCUACUUGCUAGAAAAGGUAGAAGGCAUGCCCAGGUACCUGGGCCCGCUAUGCCCUCCCCCAACACAGCUUAGAGGCUGGCAGUGCUGUUCUGAGAGGCGCUGGCCCUGAGACCCACCUUCGAGGGAGCCAAGGCCACCUGCACCUCCAGCUCUGAGCCCAUGGGAGAGCGGCACAGUCACGCGGGGGCUCCGAUUGUUGGAAGGGUGACAACCAAGCGGUGAAAUCAGCACCAGAACUCCCCGCCCCACCGCCUGCCCUGCCUCCCUUCACCCCUGCUGUAUGCUCUUUUCCCAAAAGAGUGGGUGUCCUCUGGCUAGGCCCCUCCCAGCAGCUCAGAGGCCCCAGGUUGUCUAGCCUGCCCGUGGUCACCUCUCCUCUCCUCAGGGACUCCGGGGUAACCUCCUCCCUCCUUCAGUCCUCCCAGGCACCUGCAAGACUGGGGCGCAGCAGCCUUCUGGCCAAAGCCCCUCCUCCAGCCCCCCAGGCCCCAGCAGGUUUGUGGCCUGGCUCCCGUGUGGCCUUCAUCCCCAUGUCCGGCUGCUGAGGCUCUGACCAGCGUUCCCCCAGGAUUCCUCCUCUGCCUAAAGCACAGCUGGGGAGAGACAGUGCCACCUGACUGCCAGCUUUGGGCCUGGGACCCUCCAGAGCCUGACCCAGCAGCCCCGGGGCCACCUGGUAGGAGGUGCUGUUCUCGGGCCACCACGGGGUGGGCAGCUGCCUCUGCCCCCGUGCCAUACUGGCCAGCCGGGCCCUCAGCUGGGGGAAAGCUAGCGUCAUCCUGGGCAGUGUGGCCUGGGGAUUGAAAGCCCUCGGGCACUCCUAGCCAUCCCUGCUCCUCGGGACUGUGAACUGCAGCCUCCCCAAAGGGCACAGGCAGGGUGGAAACCCUUCCUCUGGGGUUGGCCAGGUGGGUGCAAAUACCCACUUCUGGUUCAUGAGUCCUUGACAUUCAGAGGCUGCUUCCGCUGGGCCUCCAGGCCUGCUGGGGAUGAUGGCUCAGAAGACCUCUGGGCAUGCAGCUGCUCCCACUGAGCUCAGGCAGUGCCAUCCCUGGUCAGCUUCACCUAGUCCUGGUGCCCCUGUGGUGGCUGCCCCACCAGCUGAGCUUCACCCUGUGUCGAACCAGGGGCAAGGGAAAGGGGUCAGGGGUCUGGGCAGGUACAUGGGCCUUAGACUGGGGACUUUGGGGACAUUUCUCCUGGGGCAACAUCACAGACAUCUGAACCAGGAUGGCACCCCAAGGAAUGGCGGGGGAUGGGCUGUGGAGGGGCCUUUCUGAGAGCACUCAGGACUCCUUGGGGGGCCAACCAGCCAGGCUGAGGGCCCCCUUACCCAUGAGCAGCUCCGUUAGCCUCCAGCCAGUCUCUAGGACCUUCAAAUCCUUGGCCCAUGCCACAGCCCCACCACGCACAUGCUGCAGACAGGUGCUGGGGCACAUGUGUGCUGGGGACAUGUGCUGUGGAGCCCUGGGCCAGCCUGCAGCCCUCCCUGGGCCUGAAUCUACCUGCAGGCACUGCAUGGCCCCUCCUAGCCCUCAGGCUCCAGCUGCCCUGCCACGGCACAGCCAGAAGAGCAUGGUGGCCACUCCAAAGCUUUGUGCUGCCAGGACAAGCUGCUCCAGGAGCCUCAACCUGGGGACCAUGACCAGGCAGCCACUGGUGCCCUCCCUGCGAUGGUGCCCUCCCUACUCAUGCCCCCUCACCUGGCCUCUGCCUGCUGCUCCAGGCAGCCCUACUGUGCAUGCAGCUCUGAGGGGCUCCUGUCUUCCUGCAGCCUCUACCCACCUGUGGUGCCCUCACCCACAGCAGGCACAGGAGCAGCUGCUGGGACAUGGGGGUUAGCUGAGCACAGGGGGCUGGUGGCCUCUGUCCAGCCCUCCCACCACUGCCCUUCUCAGGGGUCACUGGCCAUGGGGACAAGAGCCACAUCUUCCACCAGCAUCUGCCAUCUGCCCACCCCCCAGGGAGGGUCGGCUGUGACCUGACGCCCAGUGGCAUCAUUAGGCAUCAGUGGCUUCAGCCACUGAGAUUCAGUCCUCCACUGAGAUUCAGAGGAGGACAUGGGGGUCCCAAAGGUGUUGCCACCCAGCCCUACACCUCAUGCUCCUGCAGCUGGGUGCUGGCUGCCACAGCAUGAGGGACAGAGACUCCUGCCAGGCCUGAGCUCCUCCAUACCGUCUGGCCAGCUUUGAAGGGCAUCCAGGGACCCCGGGGACACCUGCAGGAGGAAUGGCUUGGCCCCAGGGGCUGCCCUGACCCCUACCCCAGCUGCUGCUGCCUUGCCAGAGCCGGCUGCCCUUCUCCCUCGCCAGGCUCCAGCUUCACGGCCUCUGUUACCACCAUCUCCAUCACCACCCUCUGUCACGUCAAUGGCAUGGGGGAUCCACCAGGCCCAGGAGCUCCCCAGAACACCAACGGAGGCAGAGACUCCCUGGACUUGGGGCCUAGCCCCUGUGUGGCUCCUCUCAGCCCCAGGCAGCCCCACCAUGAGGCUGGGUUUCCCAUGGUGAGCUCUGAGGGGCAAGGGGACCUGAAAGGACCUAGAAGGCUGCCGGGCCUGCCAGCCCCUCAGCCCUGUGCUCAAGGCUGGGGCUGGUAUCUCGUCCUUAGACUUACUCUCUGUGGCCACCGCUACAGCAGGCCUGGGGGCAGCAGGGAGCCCAAAGCCCAGGGGUCAGCUCCACCUUUGCCAAUGUCCCUGCCCCAGCCUUCCCUCCCGGCCGAAGCUUGGCCAGUCCAGCUGCCAGAUGCAGGCCGGUGCCUCGCUCUCCUCCCUACCCUGCCUCCUGACAGCCGUUUGCUUCCAGGGAAACCAGGGCCUGGCCCCAACCAUGUGAGCAGGAGGGGCUGGGAAGGGGCUUUUCACCCUGCCCCUGAGUUCCCUGCCCCUCAGGGGAGGUGGAUGGGCCAGGGUUGGAGGAGCUUGCUGCCCCCGGGGCCCACCCAUCCAGCCCACCCGGACUGAGCUCCCCUGCUGGGCAGACGGCCAGAGGGAGGGAUUGCUGGUGGUGGGUUCCAGGCCUGCCCUGGGAGGAUCUGGGGGCUGGGGAAAUGGGGGCACUGCUCACAUUCCUGUGGGCCAGGGACUGAGGAACUACAGGUGGGCUCUCCCACCUCCUCCUCUGCAGCUAUGCAGACCGCAAGAACCCCUCUCUCCUCACCCACACCCUCAUGGUCUCUCCAUUCCCCAGCUGCCCAACCCCCAGGGCCCUGACAGCCCCUAUUCAAGACUUCCCACCACCCCAGACUGGCUGGUCUCGAUUCCAGGAACCUCCACCCUGUGGCCACGCCUUUCCCACCCCCACCCAGGCCUGGAAUGAACCUGCCCCUCCUCAGCCUGGAGCCCCCUCUCCCAGGCCUGACAAUGGCGGGGGUGACUUUCCAGUGCAGGGGUGGGUGCCCCGGUCCCUGCAGGUGCAGGCUGUGUCUAUGGUCAGCUGGUCAGCAGACACCAGUGCAGGCGCUCCUCCCACCAUUGAGUCCUUCCUCAACACUGGCCUCUACCGAGGAGAGGAUUGUAUAUUGGGUGCACAGGCCAAGGACCCCCUGUGCCCGCCACUGUGCUGCCCCCGGGGAGAAAGGAAGGAGAGCAGGGACUCAGCCUCCAGGCAGCCUGGACAGAGACUGGGAGUCCCUGGGGCUGGAGGCCAGCGCCUGCCCAGCCUGUGGGGCCCAGGCCCACCCCUGCCCAGGCACGUCUUCUUCACAGGGUUUAUGCUGCUGUUGCCUGCGGAACUUUCCAUCAGAAAAUGCUGGGUGGGGUGAGUAGGCAGGCUGGGCGGGCCGCACACGAUGUGGGUGGAUGGGUGGUGGACGCCUCUCCCGGGAGGGGCUGCUCUGGCCCGCAGCCUUGGAUGGCCCACACUGCCCACUGACACCCCCACCCCCAGGCCCAGGGGUACCAAGUAUGUGAGCCCCACAGGAGCUGUGGAGGGCAUCCCAGCACAGCUGCCAGGGAGGCACCAUUGCCUGGGUCAGUCAGGCCUGAUGACCCCUCCCCUUCUCCCCUGGGGAGGCGGGGCAGGCGCCCAAGGUCCUGACACCCUGGGUCGCCUCCUCAGCCAGGCAGGGCGCGUGGGGUCUCUGUUAGAGCCUCCAUGGGGCUGGCCACAGGACUGAGGCCAGGGUAGCCUCUAGCCUCUCCUGCCUGGCACCUGGGGCAGGGUCUGGGCUGAGCCCACCCGGCAGGACCCCUGAGGCACGACGGCCACCCCGACCCCCCAGGGGCUCUGACAGCCACUCUCCGAGUUUCAGGUACAUCCAGCUCCUGGCAGUUCAGCUGGCCACAGGGUCCCUUUCCACAGGGAGGCUUCCUCAUCACAGGAGGGCCCUGCCCUCCAUGCCUGCCCCUACACACAGAAGCAGCUGCCUUGCUGGGCCCAUGGCCCUGUAGCUUGGGGCUUAUCCUGGCUGCUGCCACGGGACCUGCACGCAGGCCACCUGUCUACCACAACCUCCCUUCUUCCUGUCCUCUCCUUGCCCAUUCAAGCUGACAUCCUCUCCCAAUACCCCUCCUCCCUGGCUUCAUGCCCCGGGCCUGGGCUGGGGAUGGAGGUCUGGCCCCACCUGCACUGCAGCUCUCUGCCCUCAGGGCAUUGCAGCCCCAGCACCAGCUCAGAUGCAGGCCCAGGAGGACCCUGUGUGCAUGGCCUGAGGGCAGGCACAAAUGACCACCGCCAAAGACGCAGCCCAGACCAGCCCCAGCCCUGGCCCAGCCUCAGCCCUAGGGACCUCCCAGUGGACACUCUGUGUGUGCCUGACAGCAGCUGUGGACCACAGACACACUGAUGUGCUCAUGGGGCCUGGAGCAGCGCCAGGGUCUGGGGGGUCUGCCGAGGCAGGAGGCACAGGUGCUGGAGGGGGCAGGGUGGAGGGUCUGGGGCUAGGACUCCUGCUUCCCCUCUUGCCCAGGACAAGGGGCCGAAUGGGCACAGCAGGCAGGCACUGAGGUUCUUCUCCUCUCAGGGGAGCUUUGAGCCCCUGGGAGGAAGGGGCUGGCACAGGGAGGGGUCCCAGGGAGGGCCGACUCCAGCAGAGACCUGGGUUGAUGGGAGUGGGGGUGUCAGUUGAGAUAAGGAGUGACUUUUCUUUGCAAGAUCCAAAGAGUCACUAGGAAAAAAAUUAUGGCAAGAAUAACUUUUUUUUUUUUUUUGAGACGGAGUUUCGCUCUUGUUACCCAGGCUGGAGGGCAAUGGCGCGAUCUCGACUCACCGCAACCUCCGCCUCCUGGGUUCAGGCAAUUCUCCUGCCUCAGCCUCCUGAGUAGCUGGGAUUACAGGCAUGCGCCACCGUGCCCAGCUAAUUUUUUGUAUAUUUAGUAGAGACGGGGUUUCACCAUGUUGACCAGGAUGGUCUCGAUCUCUUGACCUUGUGAUCCACCCGCCUCGGCCUCCCAAAGUGCUGGGAUUACAGGCUUGAGCCACCACGCCCGGCCUAAAAAUAACUGUUUCCACACUGACCAGCUCGGUGUCUGUGACAGAAAAGCCCAGAGAGUUGGGGUACUCUGAUCUGAGGGGCCUGCACCCCCAUCCCAGCUGGGCGGAGCUCCUGGGCCCCUCCCAGAGCUGGUGAAGUGGCCACAUGGCAGGUCCCAGGCCCUGAGGCUCCUUGGAGUGAUGAGUGAAGCCAAGACUCCAGCCAAUCCCCAGAAACCCAACUCAAACUGUCUUUUUUUUUUUUUUUUUGAGAGGGAGUUUUGCUCUUGUUACCCAGGCUGGAGUACAAUGGCACAGUCUCGGCUCACUGCAACCUCUGCCUCCCGGGUUCAAGCAAUUCUCCUGCCUCAGCCUCCCGAGUAGCUGGGAUUACAGGUGCCUGCCACCACGCCCAACUAAUUUUGUAUCUUUCAGAGAAAUGGGGUUUCUUUCUGUUGGUCAAGCUGGUCUCGAACUCCUGACCUCAGGUGAUCCACCUGCCUUGGCCUCCCAAAGUGCUGGGAAUAGAGGUGUGAGCCACAGCACCCAGCUCAAACUGUCUUUAAAAACAGAAAAUAAAAAGGCACCUCAGCUGGUAGCACUGAUGGGGUGGGGGUUGGGGUCAUGUAGCAUCAGGUUGCAGCUCCGGCCUGGGGAGCCCGGAGCGCCAGGAUCUGCAGGGCCAGGCCAGCACGAAGCCAACCAGACAGAGAAAGCCCACGAGCCUCUCUCCCGAAAUUCUAGAAAAAGCACAUCAUCGAAUGGCCUGCUAUCCUGAGCUGAACCGUGCCCCGCAAAAAGACAUGCUGAGGUCCUCAUCCUAGUACCUGGGAAAGCGACCUUACUUGGAAAUAGAGCAUUUGCCGACGUAAUCAGUAAAGAUGAGGUCACCAGGGUGGGUCCCACUCCUAAUGGAGUGGUGUCCUUACAAGAAAACGCCGCCCUGUGAGGACUCGAGAGGUGACGGAGGCAGAGGCUGAAGCGCUGUCGCCGCAGGCCCAGGACUUCAUCAGCCAGAGCUGAUGAAGUAGGGAGAGGUCCGCAGAGUUGCAGAGGAGCACGCCCUGCCAACACCCUCAUCUCAGGCUCCAGAAUGUCGAAGCAGUACCUCUCUGCUGUUUGACCCCCCACUUUGUGGUCCUUGCUUGAGGCAGCUGCAGGAGACAGGUCCACCUGAGCCAUCUUGGGGCCUGGAGCAGGGGGUGGGGUUGGCCCAGCUGAGCCACGGACUGAGGGUGGGGAAGGAGUGGUUCCCCAGAAAUACCACUGCCGGGAUCUGGG